rnacentral:rRNA from 1 species
UUCUUAUGAAGUAAUCAUAAGUAAAAUCUGCUCAAUGUGUAUAAAUAGCCGCAGAUUAUCUGUGCUAAGGUAGCAUAAUCACUUGUUUCCUAAUUAGAAAAUAGAAUGAAAGAUUAAACAUUUAAUUUACUAUACCCUUUAAUAAAUCUAAACUAUACUAAGACAUUAAAAUAUUCUUAUUAAAAAGUAAGACGACAAGACCCUAUUGAACUUUACAUAUUUGUUUAGCUGGGGCAGCUAAAUAAAACAUCAUUUUCAUUACUAUUUAUAAUUAAAAAUCCAAUAAUAUUGAAUAAUUAAGUUACCUUAGGGAUAACAGCGUAAUAAUCUACAAUAGCUCAUAUUUAAUAGAAUUGAUUACGACCUCGAUGUUGAAUUACUUGGCUUCGGUGCGCAACCGCACCGAAAGCAAGUCUGUUCGACUUUUAAAAAAGUACAU